rnacentral:tRNA from 1 species
UCCUCAAUAGCUCAGUUCGAUAGAGCGAUCGACUAUUAACUGAUUGGUCGUAGGUUCGAAUCCUAAUUGGGGAG